UACGUAGGGGGCGAGCGUUGUUCGGAAUUACUGGGCGUAAAGGGCGCGUAGGUGGUUGCUUAAGUUAGGCGUGAAAGCCCCGGGCUUAACCUGGGGAUAGCGCUUAAGACUGGGUGACUUGAGUGCAGGAGAGGGGAGCGGAAUUCCUGGUGUAGCGGUGAAAUGCGUAGAGAUCAGGAGGAACACCAGUGGCGAAGGCGGCUUUCUGGACUGUAACUGACACUGAGGCGCGAAAGCUAGGGGAGCAAACAGG
rnacentral:rRNA from 1 species